AUGAGAGCCAUCGGGGGUAGAUCUAUCUCAUGACGAGUGGUGGAAUACUUUGACUCAUGAGAGAGAAGCUGAGGCGAAGGCGUCUACCUAGAGGGUUUCUGUCGAUCAAGGGCGAGAGUAGGAGUAUCCAACAGGAUUAGAGACCCUGGUAGUUCCUACCUUAAACGAUGCCGACAGGAGUUUGUCAUUUGUUAAUGGCAGAAUCUUUGGAGAAAUCAUAGUUCUUGGGCUCUGGGGGAACUACGACCGCAAGGCUGAAACUUGAAGGAAUUGACGGAAGGGCACACCAGGGGUGGAGCCUGUGGCUUAAUUUGAAUCAACACGGGGAAACUUACCAGGACCAGAUGUUUUUUAUGACUGACAGGCUUCGGGUCUUUCAGGAUAUUGUUUUUGGUGGUGCAUGGCCGUUGGUGGUGCGUGGGUUGACCUGUCUAGCGUUGAUUCAGCUAACGAGCGAGAUUAUCGCCAAUUAUUUACUUUGCCGAAGUCCUUCGGUUAAAGUUCUAAUUGGGACUCCCUGCGAUUUUAGCAGGUGGAAGAGGGUAGCAAUAACAGGUCCGUGAUGCCCUUUAGAUGCUCUGGGCUGCACGCGUGCUACAAUGUUAGGAUCAAUAGGACUGCGAGCCUGAGAGGGUGCGCUACUCUUAUAAUCCCUAACGUAGUUGGGAUUGACGUUUGUAAUCAGCGUCAUGAACCAGGAAUCCCUUGUAAAUGUGUGUCAACAACGCACGUUGAAUACGUCCCUGCCCUUUGUACACACCGCCCGUCGCUCCUACCGAUUGGAAGACUCGGUGAAAUCACCGGAUGCUUUCGAGCAGAAAGUCA
rnacentral:ncRNA from 2 species